UACGAAGGGUGCAAGCGUUACUCGGAAUUACUGGGCGUAAAGCGUGCGUAGGUGGUUCGUUAAGUCUGUCGUGAAAGCCCCGGGCUCAACCUGGGAAUGGCGAUGGAUACUGGCGGGCUAGAGUGCGGUAGAGGAGAGUGGAAUUCCCGGUGUAGCAGUGAAAUGCGUAGAGAUCGGGAGGAACAUCAGUUGCGAAGGCGGCUCUCUGACCAGCACUGACACUGAGGCACGAAAGCGUGGGGAGCAAACAGG
rnacentral:rRNA from 1 species